rnacentral:rRNA from 1 species
GACGAACGCUGGCGGCGUGCUUAACACAUGCAAGUCGAACGGAAAGGCCCUGCUUUUGUGGGGUGCUCGAGUGGCGAACGGGUGAGUAACACGUGAGUAACCUGCCCUUGACUUUGGGAUAACUUCAGGAAACUGGGGCUAAUACCGGAUAGGAGCUCCUGCUGCAUGGUGGGGGUUGGAAAGUUUCGGCGGUUGGGGAUGGACUCGCGGCUUAUCAGCUUGUUGGUGGGGUAGUGGCUUACCAAGGCUUUGACGGGUAGCCGGCCUGAGAGGGUGACCGCCCACAUUGGGACUGAGAUACGGCCCAGACUCCUACGGGAGGCAGCAGUGGGGAAUAUUGCACAAUGGGCGGAAGCCUGAUGCAGCAACGCCGCGUGCGGGAUGACGGCCUUCGGGUUGUAAACCGCUUUCGCCUGUGACGAAGCGUGAGUGACGGUAAUGGGUAAAGAAGCACCGGCUAACUACGU